AACGAACGCUGGCGGCAUGCCUAACACAUGCAAGUCGAACGAGACCUUCGGGUCUAGUGGCGCACGGGUGCGUAACGCGUGGGAAUCUGCCCUUGGGUUCGGAAUAACUCGCCGAAAGGCGUGCUAAUACCGGAUGAUGUCGUAAGACCAAAGAUUUAUCGCCCAAGGAUGAGCCCGCGUAAGAUUAGGUAGUUGGUGAGGUAAAGGCUCACCAAGCCGACGACCUUUAGCUGGUCUGAGAGGAUGAUCAGCCACACUGGGACUGAGACACGGCCCAGACUCCUACGGGAGGCAGCAGUGGGGAAUAUUGGACAAUGGGCGAAAGCCUGAUCCAGCAAUGCCGCGUGAGUGAUGAAGGCCUUAGGGUUGUAAAGCUCUUUUACCCGGGAUGAUAAUGACAGUACCGGGAGAAUAAGCCCCGGCUAACUCCGUGCCAGCAGCCGCCGCCG
rnacentral:rRNA from 1 species